rnacentral:lncRNA from 1 species
CUCAUUGGGAGUUUUCUUGGCAAGGAUACUGGAGUAGUUUGCUAUUUCCUUCUCCAGCUCAUUUUAUAAAUCAGGAGGCCAAGGGAAAUAGGUUUAAGCGAUUUUCCCAGGGUCACAUAGACAGUGAGUGUCUGAGAGCAGAUCCGAACUCAGGAAUUUGAGUCUUCCUGCAUCCAAGUCCUGUGUUCUAUCCCUUAUACCAUCUAGCUGCAUUUGGGUAGAAGGCACUGGAGUUGAAAGAUCAGGAAAAGUUCUGUGUGAAAAGAAGAUGAAAGAUGAUGAUUGUCUUCUCCAAGUAAGGCUGGUGUGAUUUUCCGAGGACUCCUUUGAAUAGCAUUGCUCCACUGUGACUUAAUGGGACUCACAAGCUUUGUCCUUCUCUAACUUGAAAGAAAUGCUUUCCAUUUGAGUGGUCGUUGGGUCUGUGUUUUCCUGGUUCUUCUCCCCUUAAUUCACUGUCAAUUCAGGAUUGAAGCCCAGUGGUGGGUUCUCUGCCUCAAAAAAAAACAUGGAUAUUUUAAUAAAUUUCUGAGCAUAACUUCA